UUAUCCUGCAGCCCUUUCACUUUCAUCCUAACUUUCUUUUAGUUGCAGAAGGAUAAAUCCAGGGCAGAGCCCCCCAUUCUGGGUGAGGGGAUUCCCCUGUGAAGGAAGUCAAGGCAGAGAGCAGCUGUCAAGGCUGAGUGGGCAAGAUGGACUGCUUGCCAUCUAUCCUAGCCCAGCAUGCCCAUGCCAGGUGCUGUCGCUGCCCUAGGCAUGCCGGGGAAGAGAGGAGGGCAGGUGACUCGGAGUUUAGGCGGGCUGAUU